UACCAAGGCGAUGAUACAUAGCCCGAGUUGAGAGACUGAUCGGCCACAUUGGGGACUGAGACACGGGCCCAAACUCCUACGGGAGGCAGCAGUAGGGAAUCUUCCACAAUGGACGCAAGUCUGAUGGAGCAAACGCCGCGUGAGUGAAGAAGGGUUUCGGCUCGUAAAGCUCUGUUGUUGGUGAAGAAGGACAGGGGUAGUAACUGACCCUUUGUUUGACGGUAAUCAAUUAGAAAGUCACGGCUAACUACGUGCCAGCAGCCGCAGUAAAU
rnacentral:rRNA from 1 species